rnacentral:rRNA from 1 species
CGUACACUCCUACGGGAGGCAGCAGUGGGGAAUAUUGCACAAUGGGCGCAAGCCUGAUGCAGCCAUGCCGCGUGUAUGAAGAAGGCCUUCGGGUUGUAAAGUACUUUCAGCGGGGAGGAAGGCAAUACGGUUAAUAACCGUGUUGAUUGACGUUACCCGCAGAAGAAGCACCGGCUAACUCCGUGCCAGCAGCCGCGGUAAUACGGAGGGUGCAAGCGUUAAUCGGCAUUACUGGGCGUAAAGCGCACGCAGGCGGUCUGUCAAGUCGGAUGUGAAAUCCCCGGGCUCAACCUGGGAACUGCAUUCGAAACUGGCAGGCUUGAGUCUUGUAGAGGGGGGUAGAAUUCCAGGUGUAGCGGUGAAAUGCGUAGAGAUCUGGAGGAAUACCGGUGGCGAAGGCGGCCCCCUGGACAAAGACUGACGCUCAGGUGCGAAAGCGUGGGGAGCAAACAGGAUUAGAUACCCCAGUAGUCCCAUGAU